AUACCUGCCUUUCAACCGUUGGGCGCUUUCAUCCUCUGACGGAGGCUCUGUCUGCAGCUAGGUCCCUGGGCACGCUCGUAGCUAGUCGCAUGCCUGCGGCGACACCUCCAAAUUGCGGGAACACCCUAAAGCUCAUGCGUACCGCCUUCGUUGGGGAAACCUGACUUAGGCACCGGUGGCGAACCGGGUAUGGUAACAAUCGCUGAGAUGCGGCUGAAAAGUCCAAUGGGCAACCACGCAGCGAAGCCCGUAACGGUCACGCCGACGGGUAGCGUUCAACGACUAAACGGAGGUGCGGGUCGGGUUUACUGCCCUUCCCGUAAGAUAUAGUCUUCAUAGCGGGGAAACCCGUGG
rnacentral:ncRNA from 1 species